CGAAGGCGCAGAGCCAGAGCGCGGCCCAGAAGGCCGUCUUCAUGCGGUUGUGCCGCGAGCACACCAGGCGGAUGGCGCCGUGGAUGGUAGUGUUACUGCAGAAGAACUGGAAGAGCUCCCGGUGCAGCAGCCCGGCCCGCCGGGGAUGGAAGCGACAGAAGCCUCAUUAGCAUCUCAAUUAAAGUCUCUGCCCCAAGCAACCGAGCAAGACAAUAGUGAGGCGCCAAGUGAAGAGGGAAGGAGUCAGAGAAUGAGGCCCCAAAGGAGGGCCCAGGAGGCACAGAGACCAGACCACACAGCCAGGUAUAGGGGACAGCUCCCCUCGGAAGGGAAAGGCUGGCUUUUUCUUUAUGUUCCAGAUGAAGAAACUGCCCUCUGCAAAGAAAAGCCAGUUUUCUGUGGACACAAAACCAAACAGCAAUAGAGUGAAGGGCAAGAGCAGAAUUGUUCUUCAGCAGGGGGAUGUCUGCUUAGGGCUUUUGCCAUACACCCCAAGAGAGACCAGCCACAGACUCUUGGGGAACUGGGGCUCCCCUGCACCUGGUUUUGAACACCAGGAAGGUUCACACACUCCCACAGAGAGUCCGUGGAUUGACCAGCCGUCAGGAUCCUGGAUUAUCUCCCAGGCUCCGUGAGAAGCUCUUUCUACCGUCCCUGCCUUCCCAAGGGACAUCCUACCUACAGGUGGGGUACGCAGCACCCUUCUCGGCCCAUCUCAGAGGUUCAGAGAGGCACAUCCCUGCCUUUUCUAUUUGCUGGCUGGUGCCUGAAAUCCAACGACUGGCCCAAGGCCCCGUUUUCCUCUCGAGGGCUCGGUGAGCAGGAUCCAGAGGCCUGACCUGGGCUGAGCCAGAGCGAGCGCAGUGUCCCUGUAGCACCUGCCAGCGUGUGGUAGCUUAGAGACAGCAGCGUUCCAGAUCUGGAACGGGCCAGAGCAAGCUUGUUGUUGUGAAAAAACCAGAAAUCUGAGACCUGCACUUGUCAUGGCUCUGUUUUAAAUAUUAUCUUUUAAGGUGCAGAAAAAGUUACCUGAACACGUUUUUUUCACAACACAAUUUUCCAACAACAUGGAGGUUUACAGGACAAUAAAAGCCUCCCUCUGUCCCAUUCCUUUCCCACCCCUUGGCCCAGGAGAGCCACUGUCGUUUGUGUCCAUCUGUAUCUUUUUUGGGUGCUUUUACAGACUUACAUGUAUUUUUUUUAAAACAAGAUAGUUUUUUUCCAUAAAUGGGACCACGGUCUAGGCAUUAUUCUAUGACUUCCAUGUUGGCUUUUAAACUAUGUGCCUUAGAAAAUGAUAGUUUCUCCUGGGAAAAACCACAGUG